CACAUAUUAAGAAACAAAAAAAAAAAAAACAAGCGACACAUAUUAGAAGCUAAAGCUUUUUAAUAAACAGAAUUGAUUCAAAGCCACAAUAUGAGCAGCAGGACUUGGGUUGCAGGGAACUUUGUAGAAAAGUGAUCAUGUUUUGAAUGUAUUUUCCUGUAUUGUAAAUCCCAAUUUACUACUCUGUCAACAAAUAGAUGGAGAUUUGUUCACACAUUCACCUAUGUUCCUCCCAUCUUGCACAUCUCCCACCCACUCCCCUCGAAAAACACUUUUUUAAAGAAGACAUUUGCUUUUGGAAAGGCACAACCACAGCAAGGGAGGCCACAUGGUUUUAACCAGUUUACAUUGACAGCCUCUUUCUGGUACAUCUGGUAACCCAAUCAGCAUGUGGCAAAAAAAUAAAUUAAACAAAAAGCAAAGCCAUUAUCCAGUUAUAAACAACUGACUUAAUGGACCUUGAAGAAUGAAUCAUUGCUAGUACUUACUUUACAAUUUCUGUUAAGUGCUCAAAAACAAACAUUUGGUAGACUGAUAACUAGUAGUGGUCCUUGAGAUCUAUAAUUGUAACCACCAACUAACUGGAAUAAUGGGGACCAAUGAAGAAAAAAAACAAAAAACAGACUCAGUACAUGAUUAAAACCCUUCCACGCCAAUAGAAACAGUAUUCAGUCUGGCAGAAAGGUGUUAAUAAUCACUUCAUAAGACUGUGUCCCCAAAAUAAAAAAUAAAAAAUUUGCAUCCCCAGGUCCAAGUUAUUCCUGUUUGUGGGUUAAAAGGCAAAAAGGUGUUGUCUGGCAAUAUGUGUCAAUGUAUGUGUUCUGGGAAAGGCGGGAUGUUCUCAAGUCAACAUUGACAGCUUUUAAGAUUACUACAACUACUACUGUACAUUAAAACAAAAAUAUAUAAUUUGUCCUGUGGCAAGGUGGAAUAAAUAAUGCGAAAGGGGUCCAUCACACACCAAACAUUUUUAUAGUAGAAAACGCAUUUGAGAGACUCACAAUGAGGGGUACUUCAGGCUAGUGCAUUUUAGUCCCUAAACCAUUAUCAUCUAAAUCCUUUGAGUGGCACUCAAUGGUUAUAAUCUUUGAUUCUGCAGACAGAGAAAUACAACACAAAACAGUCAUCUUAACACUUACACUAUAGAUCAAAAAGGAAAGAAUUCUCAAAA